rnacentral:rRNA from 1 species
UACGUAGGGGGAAAGCGUUGUCCGGAAUCAUUGGGCGUAAAGAGCGUGUAGGCGGCCCGGUAAGUCCGCUGUGAAAGUCGGGGGCUCAACCCUCGGAUGCCGGUGGAUACUGUCGGGCUAGAGUGCGGGAGAGGCGAGUGGAAUUCCUGGUGUAGCGGUGAAAUGCGCAGAUAUCAGGAGGAACACCAAUUGCGAAGGCAGCUCGCUGGAACGCUACUGACGCUGAGACGCGAAAGCGUGGGGAGCAAACAGG